AACGAGAUUCCCACUGUCCCUAACUACUAUCUAGCGAAACCACAGCCAAGGGAACGGGCUUGGCAAAAUCAGCGGGGAAAGAAGACCCUGUUGAGCUUGACUCUAGUCUGACUCUGUGAAGAGACAUGAGAGGUGUAGCAUAAGUGGGAGCUUUGGGAUCAAUCUUGGUUGUUGCUUCUGUAGCAGCUAAGACCCCUUGGCAACAAUGAAAUACCACUACUCUCAUAGUUUCUUUACUUACACGGUUAAAGGGAAAUUGGGAUAGUGUCUCUCUCACUUGGGUUUACUCAAGGUUCGGGAAGGCCCCCUAUCCUUAAAUUCUAGAGCAAAGUGUAGAUACUUUCAUUAACGCUUGAGACCCUAACUUUUGCCUUGUCCUUCACGGGGCUUGAUGAUUUUUAGACUCAAGUUUGAAAGGUAACGUAGUUGCACCGUAAAGAUACUUGUAUCUGGUGUACUCUACAAUCAGCAUGAUCCUCACCGUGGACAUUGUCAGGCUGGGCGUUUGACUGGGGCGGUACAUCUGUCAAAAGGUAACGCAGGUGUCCUAAGGC
rnacentral:rRNA from 1 species